UAAUACGUAGGGUGCGAGCGUUGUCCGGAAUUACUGGGCGUAAAGAGCUUGUAGGCGGUUUGUCGCGUCUUCUGUGAAAACUUGGGGCUCAACCUUAAGCUUGCAGGGGAUACGGGCAGACUAGAGUACUUCAGGGGAGACUGGAAUUCCUGGUGUAGCGGUGAAAUGCGCAGAUAUCAGGAGGAACACCGGUGGCGAAGGCGGGUCUCUGGGAAGUAACUGACGCUGAGAAGCGAAAGCGUGGGUAGCGAACAGGAUUAGAUACCCUGGUAGUCCACGCCGUAAACGGUGGGUACUAGGUGUGGGUUUCCUUCCACGGGAUCCGUGCCGUAGCUAACGCAUUAAGUACCCCGCCUGGGGAGUACGGCCGCAAGGCUA
rnacentral:rRNA from 1 species